UACGAAGGGGGCUAGCGUUGCUCGGAAUUACUGGGCGUAAAGCGCACGUAGGCGGCUUUCUAAGUCGGGGGUGAAAUCCUGGAGCUCAACUCCAGAACUGCCUUUGAUACUGAGAAUCUUGAGUAUGGGAGAGGUGAGUGGAACUGCGAGUGUAGAGGUGAAAUUCGUAGAUAUUCGGAAGAACACCAGUGGCGAAGGCGGCUCACUGGACCGGCAUUGACGCUGAGGUGCGAAAGCGUGGGUAGCAAACAGG
rnacentral:rRNA from 1 species